rnacentral:misc_RNA from 1 species
UCCGGUUUGUCACCGGCAGUCUCAUUAGAGUGCUCUUUCGUAGCAACUAAUGACAAGGGUUGCGCUCGUUGCGGGACUUAACCCAACAUCUCACGACACGAGCUGACGACAGCCAUGCAGCACCUGUGUGAAGGUUCCCUUUCGGGCACUCCCGGAUCUCUCCAGGAUUCCUUCCAUGUCAAGGGUAGGUAAGGUUUUUCGCGUUGCAUCGAAUUAAUCCACAUCAUCCACCGCUUGUGCGGGUCCCCGUCAAUUCCUUUGAGUUUUAAUCUUGCGACCGUACUCCCCAGGCGGUCUACUUCACGCGUUAGCUGCGUUACCAAGUUAAUUAAAACCCGACAACUAGUAGACAUCGUUUAGGGCGUGGACUAC